CAGAGAUCAGUGGGCGACAGGAGAGGCCUAAACUUGCCUGCGUAACGAACUAGUAUGUGGCAUCAGGCCCAUUAGUUUAAUUCCAGAGCCCGUUUGGCGAAUUAUUUUCGUUGCUAUGUGGCCUGGGUUUAGAUGGGCUUUACAAUGUAAACAGGUACUCGCUGUUGGUUCGAACAAGUAAGUACUCCAGACGGCCUGAGCAUUGCCUGCCUGGAGUUGCAAAGAGAUUUAUGUACUAUUCUUCAGCCCUGCACUGCAGCAUUCGGCCCUGAAGGCCUGAGCAUUGCCUUCUCGCCAUGGAUAAGGCCUUGAAUUAAGCCGGCCCAUGGAACAAGAACUACUAACGAAAGGGAAAAAAAAACUUAUGUUCAAGCAAAAAAGGGAAGAGAAAAAUACCUUGAAAAUAUAUAGCAGUAUAAAAAGAACGAGUCAUGAUGAGACAAUUUUGUCUGACCGUUCAGUCCAGUUUCAAAGUUCUCCAUCCAAUGGUUCUGGACAAAACAUCAACAUGAGACGUAAAACCAAAUUCAAAUUCACUUUUUUUUCGAAACGGAGAAACCAAAUUCAGUUUAACUUACUGACAGACAUACCCCCAGCCAGCAUAUUAUACACACGCUUCACAGACACUGAGACAGAACCCGGCGAUUACUCAAAAUAAGAAGAAAAACUAAACC
rnacentral:lncRNA from 1 species